rnacentral:rRNA from 1 species
GACGUAGGGCGCGAGCGUUGUCCGGAUUUAUUGGGCGUAAAGAGCUCGUAGGCGGCUUGUCGCGUCGUCCGUGAAAACUUGGGGCUCAACCCCAAGCUUGCGGUCGAUACGGGCAGGCUAGAGUUCGGUAGGGAGACUGGAAUUCCUGGUGUAGCGGUGAAAUGCGCAGAUAUCAGGAGGAACACCGGUGGCGAAGGCGGGUCUCUGGGCCGAUACUGACGCUGAGGAGCGAAAGCGUGGGGAGCGAACAGG